GCAGCUUGAGCAGGAACAAGGAAAUAGCAUAAGACAAACCAGAGGUGGGGUGGCAUCAGGUCACCUCAGGCUGCCUUCCUCACAAGGAUUGAAGCAGAGGGACUUUCUUACCACAUAGCUUACAACUGGAUCUCCCUUCUGAUUUCUCAAAUGUCAGAUAAACAACGUCGUUUCAGUUUGGUGACAUGGAAUUUAAGUAUGAGUGACUCCAUUUUGGAACAACUCUGUGGGGCUGCUUGGAAGCCCCCGGAGAGAAGCCUGAGCUGCAUCUCACCGUGUGUUUCAUCCAUGGCGUGCUCCCAGCUCUAGCGUGCGUGGAGAGAGGUCAUGGAGUGUGGUUGCUUUACUUUCUACAAAAGUUCCGAAAGCAGGAGCCCACUGGUUUCAGCAGAAUAUACAUCAUCAUGAAGUCCCCAGGAGAGGUGAACAAGGAAGGAAUGCUCUCCUCACGUUUCUGGAAGUUCCCUGAGGCCCUGCCCAGCUUCUCUUUGGUGAUAGAUGGAGUCUCAUUCUGUCACCCAAGCUGGAGUACAGUGGCGCAAUCUCAGCUCACUGCAACCUGCUUCUCCCGGGUUCAAGCGAUUCUCCUGCCUCAGCCUCCCCAGUACUGGGACUACAGGCGUGCACUACCACGCCUGGCUAAUUUUUUGUAUUUUUUAGUAGAGACGGGGUUUCACCAUGUUGGUCAGGCUGGUCUCGAAGUCCUGACCUCAGGCAAUCUGCUUGCCUCACCUCCCAAAGUGCUGGGAUUACAGACGUGAGCCACUGUGCCUGGCCCUCCCUGCUCUUCUUGUCCUGCACUGAGCAUCUCCCACCUUCUAGCAGAUCUGAUCGAUCAGUUUGUUCCAGUGUACAAUGACUGAUGAAGGCUGAAAUAUUAGUCAUUUACAUUAUAAAAAUGGAUAAUUGAAAAAUGUGCUGAUUAUCCCCCCAAAAGCCAUCGAAAGUAGCAGGCAUUUUAGACAACCCCAUUCUUGCUGGUUUCUCAACUUCAUUAACCCACGAAUGAAGAAAAUAACAAUAUAAAUGUUGAAUUUGUGCAUACGUGUUAUUGCUGAAUUUUAUAAGUCAUACUAUUCUUUAUAUUCAGGAGCUAUAUUGAGCAAAAUGCAUCAUGAGGAAUGAUUUAAUUUGGAUGCCUUUGUAAAACUCCAUGGGCAAAUUAUUGCCAACCACAGUCGUCUGAACAAUCUUUCUUGCUCUGUUAUUUUUCACAUUUUUCAAAUUUCCAUUGGCAACUGAGAAGCCCAUUAGGAUUAUCAGGGCAUUUUCCCCUUUUAUCAGAGGACUCUUAAAGGAUCCUUGAACUCAGGGGGGCAUGAACCAUUUAGCGUUGGGAUGCCAGUGGGGUUUUUUGCUCUGGAAAGGAAAUGGCAGGGGUAUGGGGAAAUGGGCGGUGUGUCAGGAAGCAACGUGUCUUUCAGAUGCGGCAUGCCUGAGUUUUAGGACAAUUAUUUAAUGUGUUUGAAUUUGUGUGUUUUGUGGAUGCUGAUGCUCAAAAUCCACAAAGGCAGAAACCGCAACCCCUCCUAAGCUUUUCUUCCAAGCCAUGCCUGACAGCACGCACAUUGCCGAGAAUGAUUACUGAGCUCAGGGUGUGACCUUUUCAGGGGGACCCUCGGUGGGAUGCUGCUUGGGAAUGCAGCCCUCCCAGGCCACCAGCAAGGGUGACUAAUGGGACCAGCUUUUUCAACUUCUUUCCCAAGGGCAACAGAGAAACUCCUGGGUAAGUUUUGAUGGGGCAGGAUGAGCACAAACCCCUUCCUAGGAUCUUUCCCAGAGCUGCACAUCUGCUCCUACCCACCACACCAGAAUUUCACAACAUUUCAUUUUUAAUUCCACCCAUGAGGUCAGCAUUCCUAAGUAACAGCUCUUUGGGACAUGUGAAAGUGAGAAAUCACCCAUAUUUUCUUAGGAAAAAAACCAAAAACCAAACGGCCAUUAACCAGUGGCUCGCGCUGGGACAUCUGAGACGUCUGCUUUUUUUUUGCUGAAUGCAGCACCUCUCAUCUUACCCGGCGCAACACCAUCUGCUGCGUUGUGCCCAGAACCUAAAAAGAGCAUGUCUUGGCAGAGGAGGGUGUAUUUAAAGGCCAUCGACAGCAGACCAGCUUCUCAUUUUAAAGAAACACAGAGAAAAAGUCCUUCUAUCUGAGGCAUUCAUGAGAGUCGUCGACGGUGAAACAAAAAGCUAGUUAAGAAAUUACAAAUAUUUAGAGUAGGUUACUUUAACUUAAGAGACACAAAUAUAAUUUGUUGGAGAUAAAAAUCCCUCUUUUGAUGUGAGAACCAAGUUCUGUUCUUUGAGUGAGGUCUCCUUGCUGGAAUUCUGCAUCAUCCUUCUUGCAAUACUACCUCUUCAUUGCAUCAUCUGAUCUUUUCGGAUAAGAUUUCUUUAAUGUAGAGCAAGAACUUAGAAAUACACAAUGCACUAUGUGGGUAAAAUCUUUCUUUUUUAUUCAUAAUGUAUAAAGUACAACUAUAUACCAGAACAAAGAUAGUAAUUUUUUUUUUUUUUUUACUUUAGGUUCUGGGAUACAUGUGCAGAACCUGCAGGUUUGUUACAUAGGUAUACAUGUGCCUGGGUGGUUUGCUGCACCUAUCAACCCGUCAUUAAGCCCCACAUGCAUUAGGUAUUUGUCCUAAUGCUCUCCCUCCCCUUGUCCCCCACCCCCCGACAGGCCCUGGUGUGUGAUGGUCCCCUCCCUGUGUCCAUGUGGUCUCACUGUUCAGCUCCCAUUUAUGAGUGAGAACAUGUGGUGUUUGGUUUUCUGUUCUUGUGUUAGUUUGCUGAGAAUGAUGGCUUCCAGCUUCUUCCAUGUUCCCGCAAAGGACAUGAACUCAUUCUUUUUUAUGGUUGCAUAGUAUUCCAUGGUGUAUAUGUGCCACAUUUUUUUUAUCUAGUCUAUCAUUGAUGGGCAUGUGGGUUGGUUCUAAGUCUUUGCUAUUGUAAAUAGUGCUGCAGUAAACAUAUGUGUGCAUGUGUCUUUACAGUAGAAUGAUUUAUAAUUCUUUGGAUAUAUACCCAGUAAUGGGAUUGUUGGGUUCUUUUUUUUCACUUUUUUUCUUUUUUCUUUCUUUCUUUUUUUUUUUUUUUUUAGAUAAGAUCUUGAUCUGUCACCCAGGAGGCUGGAGUGGAGUGAAGUAGAAAGAUCAAGGCUCACUGCAGCCUUGACCUCCUAGGCUCAAUUGAUCCUCCCACCUCAGCCUCCUGAACAGCUGGGACUACAGGUGCACACCAACGUGCCCGGCUAGUUUUUGUACUUUUUAUAGAGUCGGGAUUUUGCCAUGUUGCCCAGGCUGGGUUUGAAUUCCUGGGCUCAAGCAAUCCACCCACCUUGGCCUCCCAAAGUGCUGCGAUUACAGGCGUGAGCCACUGCACCUGGCCCAAAUCUUUCUAGAUGUUUACAAUCUCCACCCCACCCCCCAAUGUCUUGGCCACAACUUUUUAAAAACAUUUUUAAGAGACUCAUUCUUAGUCUUUCCAGAGCCUUCAUCUUCAUUUUCAUAUAAACGAUAGCUCUUUCCUUUUGCACUUACGCUUCAUAGAGUCAGCUAGUAUUUAUUUAAAUUACAUCACUAUAACAACCAAUACAACUGGCAUAAACGGGCUUGGUGUGGGGGCCAGAGCAACUGCAUCUUGGAUGCUAAUCCACCACGUACUUCUCAUUAACCCCAGUUCCAGGAAGGCCUCGGAGAUUUCUAUGUUAUCUACUGUUUUUUACAUAAGAACACGUACUUAUGGUAAAUCCUGCCCUUAAGCAGUUGUCCUACACAUUCCUCUGCCUGGGUACAUAAGCGGUGGGUCUGGGAGAU
rnacentral:lncRNA from 10 species